CAGGGCUCGAACCCGUGUUCCCUGCGUUGGCAGGUGGAUUCUUAACCACUGCGCCACCAGGGGAGUCCCUCCAAUGCAUUUCUGAGGCCAUCGGCAUUCCACUCUGGUUCCAUGAGAUUCCACUGUAUCCUUAGGAUAAAUGAGCCCUACUUAAUAACAUAGUGUCUCUAUUAUAAAGAAAAGUAUAAUGUGAGUUCUACAUUUUCUUUCAGUCUGGACCACUGUAUUUGCUAGGGUUGCCAUUAAAAAAAAAAAAAAAGCCACAGACUGUGUGCCUUAAAUAGUGGAAAUUUAUUUUCUCGCAAUUCUGGAGGGUAGAAGUCCAAAAUCAAGGUGUCACCAGGGUUGGUUUCUUCUGUGGCCUCUUUCCUUGGCAUGCAGAUGCUGCCUUCUUGCUGUGUUCUCACACAUGGUCAUCCCUCUGUGUGUUGUCUGUGUCCUAACCAAGUCGUAUUGAAUCAGGGCCCAUUAAUUCAGAAACCUCAUUUUACCUUAAUUACCUCUUUAAAGGUCUUCUCUCCGAAUACAGUCACAAGUGGUUAGGACUUCAACCCGGAUUUUGGGUGGGACACAAUUCAGCCCAUUAGCAACCAUUCUUCACUCAUUAAGUACACAGAAACCAAACUAGCCAGGGUUGCCAUUUAAUUUAUUGACAACCAGCUAAGGCCAAAACUCAGAGUUCUUUCGGGAGUGUUAGGUGGACUGGAAUCUAGACCGGGGACUCGGGAGGCAAGGCUCUCUGGCUCUGCUGUUAUCACAUCAGAAACUUACUCCACCCGCAUGGGCUUCAGUUGCCUCCUAACACAAGUCCAAUAAGAGAGAACUAGUUGAUCUUAAAGUUUUUUUAGGGAGAUAGUUGAUCAAAAAGUAACCACUAAGCUUAAGCAGUGGUGCUAAAAAAGUAUAUAGACACCAUCAUCAGCUGCAAGAUUUUUAUUCUUCCUGCCAUGUGCCAUUUCCAUUAGCCCAUUCUGAAUAUAAAACUCUGAAGUACUGAAAAAAUAUAUUUAGAUGCAGAGUAUAUCAGAAUUGUAGGUUGUGAGAUUUUGUUUCAUGACUAUUUUAAAAAUAUCAAGUCUGCAUUAUUGUAGCAUUAUUGUUACAAAUAGUUAACAAUAUAGGGAUAAAAUACUGAUUUUCAUUAUACCAACUCAUUAAGGAUGUCAAAUUGAAAAUGGAUGUGAAUUUAAAUGUGUUGGUGAUGAGUUUCAAUGUUUGCAGCUCCCUUUCUGGUGAAAAGAUACAGUUACCAUCUGGUAAGUAUGAUUGGUAACUUGUGUGUGGAUGCUGCAUUUCCUGAAUGUUAAGUAGCAGCAACACUGUGUAAUUUUGCUAAUCCUUUUCCAGAAGUAGGAUUUUGUGAAAUGACAGGACUGCAAAGCAAACCAUCGAGCAGUAGCCAAGAGAACAGCGAAAGAGGAAGAAAAAAGUCCUGGAAAGGAUCAGAAAUAGAGCUGCCCACGAACUGCUGUCUUAGGAGGAAGUACUAUGUGAACUUCACAGAUGAAAAAACAAACUUGGAGAAGUCAAACGACUCGCCAGAAGUCAUUCAGUAAUUUGACAGCCAAGAUCUGGAAGCCAGUUCUUCCAGGGCUCUGCUCAGCUCCAAGACCCGAAUUAAAACAGCACUUCAGCCAUGAAGCAUCCCUGACAGCCAGACCUGCAUCCCUGCAUCUCUCUCCCCUCCAGCUCCUAUGGGCGUUCUGGGGUGCCCACGAUGAGCUACAUUGUGAUCCCUGAGCCCUUUGACUCCAUUGUCAACACCCAUUGCCUAAACCAGUGGUUCUCACUAGGGCAAUGUCUGCCGCCUAGGAGACAUUUGGCAGUGUCUGGAGAAAUUUUUAUGCUUAUGAUCUGGGGGAGACACCUGGUGAGUGGAGGCCAGGGGUGUUGCUGAACAUCCUACAAUGCACAGGACAGCUGCCCACACAAAAAAUUAUCUAGCCCAAAUGUCAAUAAUGCUGAGGUUGAGAAACCCUGUCCUGAGCUGGCCCUGAAUGAGUUCCUUGAGGGCAGGGCUGUGUCUUGUUAAAUGCUGUGCCCCAGGCUCUAUGACCCAGGGGCUGGCACACAGGAGGUACUCAAAUGUUGAUGAGGUGGAAUGGUUAGGGGGUGGGUCUAAAGAGAAAGCCAAUCAUGGCCCCAGUAGUGCACAGCUGAGUCAGGGAGGGGACCACAUGCACAAGGCUCUCCUCCACACAAACAACUCAACUCAACCGAGACAGGACAACCCUGACGUGGAUUGCUGAGAGGGGCUUCACGAGUGUGGGUAGAGGGCCUUAGAAUUGUUUGUUUACUUGGGCUGUUAAGGUAGCAAGAACAGAAACCCAGGGCUCCUUGAGAGAUGGAACGUUCACUGUAAAGAGAUGUGUGAAUAGAAACCCGGCCUUAGGAAAAGCAGAGCAGCUGCAGGAAGCCUGGACUGGGAACUGUCACCCUGGCAACUUCCAUUAAGAAGAUGAAGGUAAAGCCCUGUCUCUUCCUUCCAUCUGGCCCCACCCUACCCCCAGGUUCAUUCAGACUUUCCUGCUUACCCUUGACCUGGGCCCCUACCAGGGCCAACUUAUCCAUUAGUCACAGCGCCUAAGGCCCUCGAUGCUUUUUAGGAGCCCACAGAAGUGUUUUAAUUUUAAUUUCUUUUAAAAUCCGAAGAAAAAGAUGAAUAUAAUAAUGGCCAGGGCUUCCCUGGU